UUUACAUAAUGAAAGCCAAGCCAUGAGAAACAGAAAGUUUCUUAGUAGUGGCAAGGUGAGUAGCAGUAGCAAGCAUAUUUUGCCCAGUAAUAUUUGUGACCCCAUGGUUUGUACUUCUUACAAAUACCAUAUUUAGCUCCAUAGUAGUACUUGCAAUGAUGACUACAUUUGUAAGAGUAUUGGCAAGGCCCAUUCCACUUGUCACUUUUUUUCCAACAAUAUUUCCCUUCUGCCAUUUGUAUUUC